rnacentral:lncRNA from 1 species
CUCAUUGCAACUACGAUUUGGUCAUUAUGGAAGGAACGGAAUAAAAGAUGCUUUGACUUUUAUGCUUUCCUACCAACCUCUAUAGGGCAAGAAACAUUGCAAAACUUUUCUUAUCCCGGACAGAGCACACAGCUGCCCACAAAUUAUCUGCGGUUGGUCCAGUUUCUAACUGCAUGAACGCACUACUAAAAAUGCAGACUUAUUUUCUGUGAUCAGCUCAACUCCUUGGUCCUAGCCUAGUAGGGAGCGUUUGCUGCUUCCAUUGGAUGAGUCCUGAAGUUUUAUCUGGUCUGUAAUCUACAAAGGCUGCGAAGUUGAUAACUUCACUUCCCACUAGACUAAUAUAUAAUUAAAGUAUUAUACUUAUUUAUAUUAAUGAUAUG